rnacentral:lncRNA from 1 species
GCGCGCGUGACCAAAAACGGCUCUCAGCGGGUCCCAGCUGACGGAAGGUGGGGGAGGAGUGCGAGGGUCUCUGAGACAGCUGGAAACUGGGAAGUUUGUCAGACAAAGCUCUUCAGGUUACUGGCAAUUUAUGUGCUGGGAGGUGGAUUUGUGGGCAGAGCUCCGGCUGACCUGGUGUUGUCCUGCUAUGGCUACAGACUUCUGACUAUGCUUAUCAGAAAAACUUUCAUUUGGUUCAAGGAUUUUUGCUGACAAGUUUAUUUAAUCCCUGAACCUGGAUCCAAGGCAUCUCCCUGUAGAAAACAUCAGACCGGGGCAGAGAUUGACAAAGCAACCCAAAGCAGCAGCUGCCAACGGCCGCUGUGCCCACCUCAUCAGCAGCUAAAGAGUAUAAUUUUAAAAAAAGUCACAGAAGAAUGUGGAGACACUUAGCAAAACGGACUCUCAUAAGAGUGUUCGAUGGUGCUGCUACUAAUGAAAGAUUUGAGGAAACUCCUAAGGUCCCUCCAGUGUACAACAAUUUGGAACUUCCAUUUUCUCAACAACUGCUCUUCCAAGAUGCUGCCUCAUUUCAGAGCCAUGUUUUACUCAUGAGCUGGUCCUGUCCAGAAAACAGCCAAUGCUCAUUCCCGACACUUUCUUGUCACUGCUCUUUUCUGUUCCCUAUUUUGUCAGUAAGGAAGUAAACAACCGCUAAAACAACCCUCUAACAACAGAAGACCCUCAUGAGAACACCAGGCAGCAGAAGCUUCUUUAGCAGUAAAAGAUAUCUGGAUAUUCAUAUUUUGUUCCAUGAUCUUCAACAUUAAAUAAAUAAACUUAAUAUUCAAGUCUCC